UACGUAGGCAGCGAGCGUUGUUCGGAGUUACUGGGCGUAAAGGGUGCGCAGGCGGUGGAGCAAGUCUGUUGUGAAAUCUCCCGGCUUAACCGGGAGGGUGCGGCGGAAACUGUUCUGCUGGAGUGAGGGAGAGGCAAGCGGUAUUCCGGGUGUAGCGGUGGAAUGCGUAGAGAUCCGGAAGAACACCGGUGGCGAAGGCGGCCUGCUGGGCAGUUGCUGACACUGAGGCGCGACAGCGUGGGGAGCAAACAGG
rnacentral:rRNA from 1 species